UACAGAGGGCUCAAGCGUUGUUCGGAUUCAUUGGGCGUAAAGGGUGCGUAGGCGGCGCUGUAAGUCGGGUGUGAAAUCUCGGAGCUUAACUCCGAAACUGCAUUCGAUACUGCCGUGCUUGAGGACUGGAGAGGAGACUGGAAUUUACGGUGUAGCGGUGAAAUGCGUAGAUAUCGUAAGGAAGACCAGUGGCGAAGGCGGGUCUCUGGACAGUUCCUGACGCUGAGGCACGAAAGCUAGGGGAGCAAACAGG
rnacentral:rRNA from 1 species